GUUUUUACCCAAUUUUUGCCAAAAUAUUCUAUUAACACGGCAGCACAAUUCCCGAGACAUGCAAAAAAUGUAUCUUGCACAUCUUCACCCCAACACCAAUAUGUGUGCCAAGUUUCAUGAGAUUUGGUUAGAAACUGAGGAAGUAGUUGGUGUGCAAGAUUUGCAAUGAACCGACCGCCCAACCCGUAAAGCUGAUUCUACAUGUAUAUACCCUCUUCAAACUUUGUUGGCUAGGGUAUGAUAACAAUUUUCAUCCUGUUUGAUGUCUCACAUUUCGUAAUGUACAGCAGUCAGAAUCCAAGAAUGAGACCAUUUACGCAAAACAUACCUAGGUUUGUUGAGAGCCAUUAACUGGCUCUCAAAUGCUGUCUCGAUGAUGCCCUCCAACUCGGGCUCUGUUGAAUGCCUGUUCAGUUGAACUAAACAACAGGCCCUCCCAUUGUUCAGCGCCUGUAACUUGCUUGGGCUCGUCUCUGCCCCGUAGUCAAGAAGGACAACGUCCUUGUACAAAACUCCUGCAAAAAAGGAGAAAAACAUUUUUCAAAAAGGAAAUUACCUUUCAUGCCUCAAUUCAAAUUGUAGAUUCUUCACUGAACUUCAGUUUAUAUGGACGAUAGAAUUCCGCCAUGACUGUGGGGAGAACUUCGUCAUUCACAACUUGUUCAAGUAUCUUGCGAGUCGAUCUGAUCAUUCGCUCCCAGACGCCUCCCAUGUGGCUAGCUGUCGGUGGAUUGAAUGAUCACUCGAUCCCUUUCUGAUGGAGGAUGUUUUCUACUUCUCGAGUGUUGUGACAUGGUGAUUACUGGGUAGAAUUAUGGGGUGCUUUGCUUCAAAGUCAACGGCGGCGUUGCUAAUACGUCCUCCGACUCGUAGAAUACCAUCCUUCACUACUGGAUUGAGUUUGUCGAUCGAUUUCCGUUGAUCUCUGUUGUGGAAUUCUUGUUCCUGGACAAGUCUGAUGUUUUCUAGCUCUGCACACUGCAGUUCAUCUAGCGUCAGGUUCUUCUUAGAAUCAUGUGCAACUGGUCCCUUGGUCUUCGUUCGGAGAAAGGUGGGUUGGCUCGUUACAAUAUUAUACAUCCAAUUCAUGAGAUCAAAAUAAUGAAGGUAUAGAUACUUGCGCCAAGUCUUUCAUUUCUCGCAGUGUGUGUGGGGUACAAGCCACUCUUAUGUUUCGUCCUCAUACGACAUCUUGUAUCGUUCGCUGUGAUUUGAUUUUAGACGUAGACAAGAUGUCACCUCAUUUCUCUUCUCAACAAGAGCAUUUGCUACAGCUCUGAUGGUCCCAGACACUGAAGCUAUGCUCACUCCAUGCAUUGAAUCAAUAGGCGUGAGUAGUCCACCAGUCCAAAAGAAGGAGAGGGCUAUGAAGACCUGCAGGGAGAAAUGCUCUCUUCACCAUCUCUUGUUAUUUUCUUACAUUGCUCAUGUCAUAUAUUGUUGAUUUGAUUUUUUCUUGUAGGCCACUAUCAUGAUUUUAAUUGUGUUUUAAUAGUGUAAUUGACUACAACUGAAUACUUUCAUCCGAGGGGUCCACGAUUCACAAGCAGAGCUUCACAGUGGACCUAUAAAAUACAAACUGAAUCAUAAAAAUUAGUUUCUCACUAAUGCUUUAUUCUUGCACAGUGCCUCCUUCGUUAAUCUCCCUUUUCUUUGAAUCCAGAUAAGGAUCAAUUUUCGCAAGACUCCGAGGCAUGUUUGGUGCAUAUAAUCCACAGGAAAUCUGUUUACCAUAUCAAUUGGUAGUUAGUAGAUGGGCUAUCCACUAUGUGAUUUUUUUUUAUGGUUUGUGAUGUCAUGUGUUAAUACCCCUGGAAACAUCCAAUGUGAUAGAUGAUAUGUGAUUGCACACUGUUAUUCAUUUGGGAGGCUUUAGUUCUAGCUCUAGUUGUAAAAAAAAUGAAAAAUACACUGACCAAAAAUUAUCUACAUGUAGAUCUAGGCCUAGAUCUAGCCCCAGUCCGCGAGCCGAGCCAGCCCGUGGCCUAACAAAGGCCACGGGCAGGGUCAAUUACUGAAUUAGGUACCAAUUAACAAUCAUCAUCAAGCAUUCAUACCAUAUACAACUUGGUUCAGAGUCGAGACAAAUGUUCAUGAAAACCGAAAACAAUAGUUACCAAAACUUUGUCAUCUUGCUGGUUGCUGCCACCGGCGAGGACCGUCAUGCCCUUGACUCAGGAGAAUUCGAUGCUCCGGUUCCGGCUGAAAGCCCUCCUCCCAUUCUUCUUGGGUCCACAACACACGACUUCUAUGGCUUGAAUUUUCUGUGCGCGGCGGCAUGUAAUGAACCCUUGGGUGGACUAGACCUAGUAUUAAUCAUAUAAUUAGUAAUAGUCAACAAGUGCAAGUUUGAUUACCUCCCGACUGUUGCCUGCAGCCCGAAGAAGGUGAGGCAUGCAAUCUAGCUCCUCGACCUCUCCCUGGCCUGGCUCUGCCGCUUGAACUUGAAGAUGAACCUCGUCUCAGUCCAAAUAACUGCGUGAACUCCCGCCACAGGCCGGCUUCUCCAGGGAGCUCCACUGGUUGCUGUAACAGCUGCGGUGAAGGUCUAGUAGUAACAUGAUUAACGUUGGGGCUGAUGCCGGAUGCCUGCCGGGGCCGCCCUCGCAGAGGCUGAUGGUGCCGGUUGCCAGUCGGCCAGGGCAUUACUGAGAUUCGUAAUGCCCUCCAUCAGCCUCUGAAAGACCUGAGAUCGAUCGUUCCCUUGCCCGGCCAUGUCGACAACUCACGCAGUACCGGUAUACAAUAAACACAGACUACUGAAGAAGUCGAGGUCUCCGGACAAGUCCCGUGGUACUGCUCUGGAAGUGGUUUUAAACUUUUGCUAUUUUUUGUAUUAUUAGUUUAGUUCAGCGGGCCGGGCGAAACCACGUGGGCAAAACUGGCCAGCUUGUUCGACAGCGCCCCGUACGUCCGAACAAAAAGAGGAACGUAUUUUUUUCAAUUGAGUGAAAUGAAUUUUGCAACAAGAGUGAAAUGUAAUACGAAGCGAGAGAGGAAUGGAUUUUCACGUGCAGUAAGGCACGCCAUGUGCCGUAUGUGUUAUCCAACGAAUGCGAAAUGAUUUGUUUUCUCUCACAAUUAAAAUGUAACGGGUGAAAUGAUUCUUUGUCGAAAAGAAAUAUAUUUUUUUGAAAAAAGUGAAACAUAUUUUUUUCAAACUGAAACAUUUCAUUUGAAAAGUGAAAAGAAGUAUUUUCUUUUUUUUUUGAAAAGUGAAAUAUAUAUUUUUAAAAAGUGAAACAUAUUUUUUUGGAAAAGUGAAAUACAUUUUUUUGAAAAGUGAAAUAUAUUAUUUGAAAAUUGAAAUUUUUUUUUUUUUUAAAGUGGAACAUAUUUUUUUUGAAAAGUGAAAUGUAUUUUUUUGAAAAGUGAAAUAUAUAUUUUUUGAAAAGUGAAACAUAAAUUUCUUUGAGUGAAAUGGUUAAGUGGGAGAGAAACAUAUUUUUUUCAAGUGAAAUAUAUAUUUAAUUGUUUCCCUAUGGGCAUGCCAUAGAGGGUAACCAUUCUUCCUCUUCCUCAUUUAUUCUCUUUCUCUCAAGCUUGUAAUAUACAUGUAGAAUGAUACUGUGACAAGCCAACUCUGCCCUUCAUUCUCUUUUAAGAGAACCUUUUUUUUUUUUAACUCAUGAUGAAAACUUAGUUUUAUAAGAAAAAAACAUUAGUGGUCCACUAACCCUUUUUUAUUACGACAGACAAGGGCAACCAUUCUUCCUCGUAUUUUUUCUCUCUCUCCCAAGCUUUUAGUAUUUAUUAAGUUCUUUGUUUUAAUAAGUAAUGCAUCUAAACAUAUAUUGCCAUUUCAUACCGAUUUUAUUUUUGUAUAUUUGUAAACCCCGACUAGUGAGGAGAGCUUCAUAACAGAAACUAGUUUUUCUUUUAGUCAUCCUCAGGCACUAGUCGGUGGUAAUUUAUUCCUCUUGUAUAUAUUCUUGUUGUCUUUUGUCUGGAAAUAAAAUAAAUAAAUGAAAUAAAUAGAAUGAUACGAGCCAACUCUGCCAUUCAGGUACAGCUCUUUUCCUCCUCCUUUUUAUAUACAUGUAGCUCCCUGUAUAUAUAUCCCCCUCUUUCUCAGCCACCUGCUUUCUUUCUUUCUUUCACCAUUUUCAUUUGAAGUAUUACGAUUAAUACAGCUGCUCCAGAAAUGGUAUGGUUAAAGUAAUACAGAAACCAUGGAGCUAUAAAUGCAUUACAAGGUAAGAAAUGACUUUAUCUUGGACAGACUUCAAUUGGUUUACCAGUAUUCCAAGGUGCGCCAAGUACCGGUUUCUUGCCGAACUUAUUUGAAUUGAACAGUGUAGGCCCUUUCAAAGGCAUCUUUCAUAAUUUAGCUUACUGGAUCGUCAUUGAUAGAUGAUUACUUACACUGUACCAUAGCAGUUAGAAGUUUGUCAUCUUAUGGAGUAUUUGAGAUGUUCUUGUAACAAGCAUUUAUCCAAAAGAUGAAUUGUACAGAAACUUUCCACUCAUCCUUUCACUUCCCCCAAUUAGGUAUUUAAACUUUUUAUCAAUGAUUGAGUAGACAAGAGUGAGUGGUAAUUAUUACUGGUCUUUUUAGACAAGCAUUACAGAACAGAUAUAGGAUGGGUAAUGGGUUAUGUAUUGUUGUCUUUGCAUAGAGACUUUAAUAGCAGAAUUUAUUCAAGAAAUGCAUUUGGAAAAGUAUAGGUGAAGCAUUUCUGUUUAAUAGUGUAUUUGAGACAUUCAAAAAAGUAAAUAAAUUGAGGUUGUAUAUUAAACAGUGAUACGAGAGAUAUAAAAUUGUUCAAUAAAUAAUCUGGAUCCCACUUUUUCUUGUUCUCAUGCAUAUGAAUUUUAAAAUGUGAUUUCUAUCUGAAUAGUGUAAUGUAAAGUUUAUGUAUACAUUGUGGGUGUUACUUUACAAGUCCAUUAACCUGUAACACAAAGCUUGGCAAUCAUUGUAGAACAGUUUUAUAUGAUUGAUUUCAUUGAAUACAGUAUGUAAUUAAUCGUGAAAAUCAAGCGUACUAUUAAUCGCUAACCUUUGUGUUAUGGGACCCAUGUCGGGGUGGAAAGCCAGUGGGAUACAAUUUAUUGUACUUUCAAUUUCCCAGGCAACAUGGCCUUGUAAAGUGUUAUUGUUUGAAUACCUGAAUGAAAUAGUAAUAAUAAUAAUCGGUCAGUGAAAGAUGUUACUUAGGAAAGAAUUAGUUUAUAUUUUUUCAAACAGACAAAGAAAGCAAAACAACGCAUAAUUAAUGUGUUUAAAGAAGCAAUGUACUGCAUAGAUUUUAUUAUGUAUAAAUUGGAAUAGGAAAGGCAAGGAGUAGAAAAACAGUGAAAAAGAAAAAAAUAUUCUAUUUCAGAUCUGUACAAAUGCAGGUAUGCAGCCACUCACUCAUAUGAUCAAAUAUUUGGUUUACAAGUAAUAUGCUAUAUAAUGUACAUUUGAAUAUGCUAUUUAUUGAAUACAGUGUACUGUGCACAAUGAAGAAAUAAAAUAAAGAUGAAUUUACAUUA